AGUAAUAUGGGCUAGGUGGGUCUCACAGCUAUUCGUUGUAGAUCUCUACAUUUUGACUAUUGCAAACGGUAUUUGACGAAGUUAAACUAUCACCGUAGCGAUGGCGCCACAGUGGUAGAUAUUUCCCAGUUUAUAAUAAUUGUUUGUCGGUUGGUGUGAGUGUCAAAACUUUUUCGGGAUGUCAAAACAACAGCUGAAGGAAGCUAAAAAAAGAAAAAAAAUGGGAUGAGAGAGAUAUG
rnacentral:lncRNA from 1 species